CAGUAGCCGCGGUAAUACGAAGGGGGCUAGCGUUGCUCGGAAUGACUGGGCGUAAAGGGCGCGUAGGCGGAUGGCACAGUCAGAUGUGAAAUUCCCGGGCUUAACCUGGGGGCUGCAUUUGAUGCGUGUUAUCUAGAGUGAGGAAGAGGGUUGUGGAAUUCCCAGUGUAGAGGUGAAAUUCGUAGAUAUUGGGAAGAACACCGGUGGCGAAGGCGGCAACCUGGUCCUUGACUGACGCUGAGGCGCGAAAGCGUGGGGAGCAAACAGGAUUAGAUACCCGUGUAGUCCCUGUCUCUUAUAC
rnacentral:rRNA from 1 species